rnacentral:tRNA from 1 species
UCCCUAGUGGCCCAGCGGCUAGGACUCUGCACUCCCAAUGCUGAGAGCCCGGGUUCAAUCUCCGGUCAGAGAA